rfam:Trichobilharzia regenti genome assembly, scaffold: TRE_scaffold0010092
GUACUGAUGAAGAAUCUCAAAAUAGGAUGAAACAGCUGUCCUGUAC